GCACGAGAGGCUGCACACGGCACACGGAGACUGCGCACGGCACUCAGAGGCUGCGCACCGCAGGCACCGCAGUCUACUCAGUGGGGUGCGUUCGCGUGAUGAUGUCUUCAGGGUUAAAGGUCUACCGAGUGUGUGUGUGUGCAGACAGGGAGUGAAAAGGCUUCCCAAGGAGACGGGCCAUGAAGGAGAAGAGAUAGAGCAGAGAGUGGCUUCGUAAAGAGGCCCAAAUCAGAGAAAGACAGACAGACAGAUGGACUGCAUACGUUCUCUCCUUCCACCUUUAUGAGUCUGUGACCCUGGAGAUCUGAACUCAGGUCCUCCCAUCUUCCGGGCAAGCGCUUGCUUUGCCCACUGAGCCCAGCCGCAGGGCUUCACUUUGAGAGUGUCCCGUUAGGAGGAGAUACUAGAAAGAAUCCAAUCUUUCAGAUGACAGAAGACAGCUUUUGUGAGAACCGGAGGAAGAGGAAGGAGGAAACGGCUGAGGUUGCUGGCGAACAGAGGAGAAAUAGAAGGAGGGGAUUGAAUAGGCUCUUAGCUUUUGUUUCUAAAUAAAUCACCCAGACAUGGGCCCCAUUACUCCUGAGGAUGCAGAUUCGUGGGAAAACUCAAAUUAAUCAUUAACUAGGUCUUGGAUAUGGUAGGAGAAAUUCAUCAUCUAGAAAUAGUCCAAGAAUGGAUUAUUUCAUAGCUUUGGGUUAAGCUCAACUAUGCACCGGGACUCCGCCCCCAGGAUAUUGAAGCCAUAUGGAAACUUCUUUGGUGCACCUGGUGAUAGAAGCUUCCAGAACAGCAUAAUCUAAAAGCGCUCUCCACUCCUUGAUACCCAGAAAUGAUUCUCAGAGCUUGCUGUUGACUGCGCCUCCCUUUGUAUUCCGCACGGCACAUGCCCCUUCCAGCUGGGGCUGUAAAAGUUUCGUCCUGCCUUCUCCCCACUGGUGCCUCGAUUUUAAGAGCGGGGGAACGCGGAGCACAGAUACAACCUUUGCACUCGAGAAUGGAAAUCUCGCCGUUUACAUCACUCCACUACCUGGAACAUGACAGAGAGUGCGGAGGAAAAUAACUCUGGCCUGCUCCCCUCAUAAAAACGGAGAACUUGCAGGCUCAGAUGCUCAGGGGCGGGGCGUCACACGAAAACGCCUCUCGGCUUCAUCUCGCUUUAUUUUAAACUUCAGUUCUCAAAAUAAGUGCCUGGGAACUUGAGUCGGCAUGCAGUUAAAAUUCAGAUUCUCGGGCCCCCGAUGCUAGAUCUCUAAGUAAAAAAGUGUAGAAACCCACACUUCAUGUAUGUGAGCAUGCUUGUAUGUAUGUACGCAGGUACGUGUGUACGGGCAUCAGGCACUACAUUCAGCUCAGAAGUCUACACUUAAGCAACUUGUCAUUUACAGAGAAAAUGCUGUCCCCACCCUGAUGAAGAGGAAUCUUCUUUUGAAUUAUUGAGCCUGGAGGAGAAGGGCCAGGAAUCACUCUAGCCACAUUCUCUUAGCUGAAGAACUCUAGAGUCAGGAGAGAACGGCAGGUUUCGAGAGUGUGUCCUCUCAGAGUUAGAAGAAUACCGACCAACAGUGUCUAAGGGUGCCUGACACACAUGCUAGGAUACCCUUCUACUCAGAAGGAAGGAUUCAGUUCCAUAAUCCCUCAGGGAGAUGUGGUCAUGUACAAACAACACACACACACACACACACACACACACACACACACACACACACACACACGAGGGCUCUCAUUAUGUUAAGUGACCCCAGUUGUCGGUACUUUAGCCUGUUGUCUAGGGCUGGUCACAUGACAUACCCUAACUUUUGUUUGACAAAAUAGAGUCUGUAAUCCUAGAAAGGGCCCGAGAGAGACACACAAACCAUGUCUGUAGAGGAGGAGGAAGUGGAAACUUUCCAUUCAAGUGCUAAAAGAACAACACACAUGGAGGUCAUGCAUGUGUUAUAUGACAGGUAGUUUUUUUUCUCCUAUGACCUUACGUGACUGGUAAAAGGUUUGGGGAAGUCAAGAGUUCCUCUCUUAAGAUCACACGGCUAUCAGGAAAAAGAGAAGGAACUGAGCCUGUAAAGUUUGCGAGUUCAAGUUCUCAACAAGUGGGUAGAUAAUAUGCAUGUGUGUAUGUGUGUAUGUAUGUGUGUAUGAUGUAUGCAUGUAUGAUGUAUAUAUGUAUGUAUGUGUGUGUAUAUAUGUAUGUAUGUGUGUAUAUGUAUGAUAUGUAUGAUGUAUGUAUGUGUGUAUAUGUAUGUAUGCGUGUGUUGUAUGAUAUGUAUGAUGUAUGUAUGUAUGUGUGUAUAUGUAUGUAUAUGUACAUAUAAAGUUCAGGAGAAUUUACAGUGGAGCAGAGCAUGCAGGGAGAGGGAGUUUGGAUGACUGAGGAACUGGGAAGAAGGCUCACUCACUCGCCUGUGUUUUUGAGGCUCUGAUCUCUGUGUUGAGGAGUCUCAGCAUAGCAGAGGGUAGCUCAGCCCAGUGUCAGGUAGACAGGGAAGAAACCUUGCUUUCCAGGUCUUUAACGGUGUGUGCGGUGACAAACACCCGCAGUCCCAGCUGAUGGGAGACGAAGCAGGAGCGUCUUAUCUGGGGUUCCAGGUCAUCCUUCGCAACAUACCCAGUUCGAGGCCACUCUGGGUUACAUGAAACCCUGUCUCAAAGAACCAAACCAACCACACAAUAGGCGCUUUUGAGCCAGGAAAGCAAUGUCAUCCCAAGUACCGUGUGGCCUCAGAGUGGAACCAGGCCCAAGAAUUGGGCCAUCUGUGGCUCCUCGAUGCUCUGGGUCAGACUCACAGGCCAGCUCCUCCCAGGGCUGCUCCCACCUGAAUUCUGUGUCCGAGGUUGCAGAUCUUUAACCAAACACGACUCUACUCUUCGCUAUUUGGCUGGCGUUAUUUUGCAGGUGCCAAUAAUUAACCUCUGCCAGGAAUGGUGGGGGCUGUCUUCUCUCCCCAAACGUACAUGGAACUGCGAGCAGGACCAGGCGCUGUGACGGCCCCGAUGGCUCGAGUAUUUAUGUUGGAGACCUUUGGGUGAACUGUGACUUUGAGAAGGAAGGAUCGGUUCAUGUUUAAAAGGGGGCUGAUUGAUCGGUGCCAGUCAGGCACCCUUUCACUCUUGGCUCCUUGGAGUCUCCGUAAUAAGUUCUUUACGAACACAGUUUGCUAUUAAAGAAGGGCAUUCAUCGUAAGCCAAGCAGAGGGGAGGCAGUGUCUGAGGAGUACAAUACCCCAUUUUCAAGCCACACUAUCCUUUCUGUUCAACUUGAUCUGCCAGGUCAUUAACGUUUGAGGCAAAACACACACAGACUUUGGUAAAUAUUAAUCAGAGAUGCAUGGCCCCUUUUCCCUACCCAAUUACCCAUUACUGGGCUCCGCAGGUGAUAAUGUCCUGCUAAAACCUCCAGUUUGCUUAAAAUGCAAGGGAGGGAUGCUUUGUGAUGAUGGCUAGCAGGGCUCUUAGCAGCCUAACUCGUCUCUUUGUUUCUUGCUUUUCUCUCUCUUUUUUCCUGGUCUGGUGUCUCUGAGUAUGUGAGUGUCUGUGUCCAACCCUUCAGCCUUCAGUUUCCCAGCUCUCCCAGUGCUUUGUAACUCCGGCGUAUGCAUGUAGAUGUCUUGAGACACCCGGAGCAUGCGUGCCUGGUGGUUUCUCUACCUGGCCCUACGGAGUUUCACAUCAUGUCGGUUGGGUGCCAUCACUUUGAACUUGAAGGUCCAUCUCCCCCAUUUGGGAUCUCAUCAGACCAUGCAAAUUGCCAUCAGCCUUUCAGACCAGCUGGAGCAGGUCUAAGUCACUAGGUCUCUUAUCAGUGAAGUCAUUAAAAGUCCAUCAGAUCAAUUGGGUUCUGACAUAACUUUAAGAACAUUCUCAGGUGAAAUCCAUUUCUCUCUACUGGCGCAAGUUCACAGAUGCUGGUAAUAAGCUCUUGUCCAAUUUGUGUCAGCACCUCAAUGAAUAUUAAAAUCUGGGAGGCAGUAGCUGGCUUUAUCAUGAGGUAUCAGAACCUGAACCCGGAAAAGCCAGGCUGAGAGUGGCCAGCCUCGAAGCACUGACAGCAAACCGGCACUUGAAGGUUCCGGGGGUCGGGCUAGUCUGUGCGUGAGCCUCCAGUUGUCAGAAGCCAGAAGAACAAGCGAGAUGACUUGUAACUAAAUUAGCACGCAUGGCGGCCACUCUGGUCAUCUAUACUUUCACCUCUGUUUCGAACACUCCAGGCUGGAGUGCUCCACUUUUCCUCCAAAUUGAGCAGAACACAUUCAUUGUCCAUUUCCCCUUGGCUUCUGUGUGACGUCGUCUUUCCUCAGUGAAAGCUAUCAGUUAGGUACUGGACUCCUGGCACAAUCUGAUGCCAUGGAGGAGCCGUCUUUAACUUCCUUAGAUUCUGAAAGCCGUGGGCGGAUCACUUACAGAGAGGCAGAGACCCACAACACUGCUUCCUUCAAUCUUUGCGUGCUGGCUGAAGCAGGUGUAAGUCACGACCUCUCUUGUAGUCAGUGAAGUUAUUAGAAGUCUGUCAGCUCUUUUGAUACAAGAAGUACAUAUUUCAAUGUCCUUGAGAGGUAGUGGUCCUGAAUAGGCCUUGUGGCUGUCUGUCUUUCUACAUGGAGGUAGUAGGACCUUCUGAAACUCGGGGGUUUAUGGAUAAUUUUUGUAUUGUCAUCCAGAGCAGCAGUGUUUAUGUGUAUAAAGAAAGGGCAACAAAGUACGUGUUUGCUAUGGGCAAGGCACUCAGAUAUAUUCUAAUCCCCCUCUCCCCCACUGAUAUAACCCACUGACCUAGUUAUUUUCAACUGUCAACUUGACAGUUAAACCUGGAAUCGUCUGAGAAGGGUAUCUCAAUUGAGGGAUUGCUCAGACUUGAUUUGCCACGGGUAUGUCCAGGGGUUUUCUUGAUUACUAAUUGAGGCAGGAGAGCCCACCCACUAAUAGAUGUGGGAAGACACUGCCCACUGUGGGUGUUGUUAUCCCUAUUCAGAAGGACCUGGGUUGCCUGAAAAAGCUAGCUGGAAAGUAAGGGGCUUCCUCCCUGCCUCCUUCCAUACUUCUUUGGGUGUGGAAUGAGUUCCUCCGUUGGAGGCGAAGGAAUUGCAAGUGGGCUUGCCUUGGCUUCCCAAAGGCCGACUGUCACCUAUAAGAUGACAUAAACCACUUCCUACCUAAGGUUUCUUUCUGGCAGCAGAAAUCAAGGCAAGACACACAGCACACGGGCUACAGCAAUGCUCUAGCCUAGACUUGCUGAGCCGCACUACGGGACCCCGAGACACCAUUUUUAUUCUACAAUAACGACUCGUUCUCCUGCUGGCUAAUGAAGGGGAUGUCCAGGCCACAGCAAGGACCCAGUGUGUUAUCUAUCUGGGAAGCUUUGGGAACUCUCUGAGUUUUACAUAAGUUGUCUGCGGGCUCGGUUAAGUCAUAGGCAGUUUUCCAUGCCGGUGCGUUAUCAAGGAAUUUCUUCUCUUGUCCUUGACAUUGAGUAGACUCGAGGAAGCACUCCCAGCCAGGCAGAGUCGCAGCAUGGGCGCACAGAGCCCUGGGUAGGGGAAUUCUAACGACCUCCCUAACCCAGGCUGUACACAUAUUGUCCUUUAUCUCUGAUGCAGGAAGUCAGUUUCUAUUGAGACACAGUGCUACGAGGAAAUUUCUCGCUGCCUGAAAGGUUAUGUUCUGGACAUGUGCCAUAUAACACCAUUAGGUAUUGAAUAAAAUUGGGGAUAAAGAGGGUUCUUCUUGGAGAAUUGCCUGAAGGUGUAGCUGUUAUCGAAAAAAGAGGCCCGGAUAAGGAUAUUCUAAACAAUGAGGGCAACUUGCAAAUAAAGUUCCUAAAGAAGUCAUUUUAAUUCAUUGAUUUUGAGACAGGGUCUCACUCUGCAGCCCUGGCUAUAGAGUGGGACCCAUGAUGUAAACCAGGCUGAUCUGAAACUCACAGAGAUCCCCCUGCCUCUGUGUUAGGAAUGUUGAACUGAAAUGGAUACAGCACCAUGGUUAGUCGCUAAAUGGGUGAUUUUAAAGUUAAAAAUAAAACCUGAGGACUUUGGAAUUAUAAAGUGACCAAUAAGCACGCAUCCAGCCCGCACGUUUGAUUUUGAUCUAAUUUUCUUUACAAGUGAGAGGAAACACUGAUCUCUGCCUGCCCCAUUCACAGCCCUGACUUCUGCAGGAAAUCUUAGGAGAGAGAGGUCCGAAACUCCACAUUGCCAAAACAAGUUCGAGUUGGAUUUUUCUAGCUCCAUUCUAAUUCCAGAUUGUGAAGUGUGUUCCCAGAAGGGAAACCGGGGAAGCGAUCACAAUAUGAUUCGAUUAUGGACGAUUUUAAAAGGAGAAGGAAAAGAGCCCGCUGAAAUCUGGAGGAACUGCAGACCCCCGGGGACAGGGAAUUGGGGCGGGGGUGGGGGAGCGCCGGCUGAGCUCGCACAGCGUCUCCAAACUCUCGGGAAGUGUUUCAAUCAUGACUCGUUAGAUUAAUUGGAUGUCUUCAUCCUGACCUCUGAAGCUCAAGAAUGCACUAACAGGCAGAAGUGUUGCAGAGGCCUAUCGCCCAGUGAGCUCGUGGGAGGAACCAUCACCCAGCAAGCUCGUGGGGGGAGGAGCCAUCACCCAGAAAGCUCCUGGGGGGGAGGAACCGUCACUCAGAAAGCUCGUUGGGGGCGGGGGGGGGGCGCAGGAAGAUUUUAAGUUCAAGGUCAGUUGGGCUGCAUAACGAGCCCAUAGCUCAAAACAUGGAAAUAAAAGCGAAGGCAAGUCAUAUUUAAAAACUCGGAACUAGUUCCCAGCUUUUACCAAGAAAAAUGACAAGAUAUUAAAGGUCGUCAUGAUUAUUGGCUCUGCUCAAAAACUGCAAGGCAAUAAGACAGAAAUUGAUGUGAUGAUAAGAAACCCCUCCCCAUUCUCCAUUCUUAAUAACCAAAUAUUAUUAAAUCAAUAAUUUUGGCCACGAUCUGAACAGGUUAUUAAACAUCAUGAAUUAUUAAGCCGAAAGUUGAUCAGGGCCACGAAAAUAAUCCGAGUUAACGGGAAUCUUUGGAUUUCUAAUGAAAUAUCCAGUCAUUGACGAAAACAUCUCUGUUAGGAUUCUUCCGGAACAAGAAAGGCAGAUCCCACAGAUGUCCUUAAGGAAGGGAACACAUUCCUUUCUGGAUUACAGGAAAUUAAAAACCCAGAUCUCUAGGAUCAAAAUAACAGGAGAGGUAAAACAGCCAAAGUCGAAGGUGCCAAUGCCCGUGGAGAAUAGGCUACCCUGUCCACCCCAUCCAGGUGCUCCCCUCGCCCCGAGGGAUAUUCCCCUGAUUGUUUCAGAGACCUGAAAGGAUUUGGGAAACAGCCAUGGAUUCGUCAGUGCUGUGUGUGCCUCUGGUGAGGGGGAAUGGGCACAAAGCAAUUAGUCCAUGGCCCAUAGCCAGCAGCACUCCGUUCCAGUCCUUCGCCUUAAGUGAGGAGUUUGCGCAAAAGUAUUUUGUCCAGACAUUAUCCAAUAACAGGCAGUGGAAUGCAAUUUAAUUUAGAAGGGACCAGAGGGCAGGAGAGAAGGGGGCCUGGGGCGGACCCCCAGAGCAGGCGAAAAAGGUCUGGUGCACUUUGACCUUUCUGUGAGAUCACAUUUACCAUCCUAGGAAAGGCUGACACAAACAAGCCAUCCUGGCUGUCAGAGACGCUGAAGGCAAACAGAUGCCCCUCACUCUCGGCUUGCAUACCUUCCUCUGGCCAGGCUUCCUGCUCAGAUGAGAUCUUGCCAGAAAGCAUUAUCCCCGUGCUAGAAUUUCCUAAUACGAACUUGACUCUGUCACUGACGAGUUUAAUGACAUGCAUUUCCCCCCCUUUAACCAUUUAAUGCAACAUGAGCUCUGAAUGUUUCCAGGGAGAGAAAACUGAGACCAGUAGGGGAUUUUAGGCUUUGGCAAAAUGACAGGUGGGUUGGGACCACCUGGCAAUGCGUCAGCAAAUGGGGAGGAGAAGGCCUCUAGGUCUUUACACAUGAAAGCCAAGAGAUUGCUAAUAGGUUAGCCAGCUGGGCAAGGACCGGGAUCAAGACUCCAUCCCUGCACGCCAAGUAGAACCAUCUACUUUCUAUGGGGUCUCAGGCAAGUAAACACAUCUCCAUAAGUCUGGAAGUUAGCCGUUGAGUGGGCUUACAGCAUUCCCCCCAAACCAGCCACACUUCACAGUGGCCUGAGUCCAGAACCAGGCACUGACUACAAGCUUAGCUACUAGACAAACUGUGGGUUCUUGGAGGCAGAUCCCUUCCAUUAUGGUGUCUAUGGACUAGCAGGGACAGGGAUAGAAAACGAAACAAAGCAAAGCAGCGAUAAGUAGAGAAAAUUGGGACAAAAUUCAACCAUGAAAUCGAGACAAUUAUGUUUUCAAUGGGAGAGACAAUGGGAUGUUUCUUGGAGGAGGUGGUCAGGCCUAAGUUGGGACCUGGGAGUGUAUCUAAUAUAAGAGAGCUGCAGAGGGCCCCUACAGGCACUGGGGGAAUAACAUGGGUUCAGGGAUUUCAGGGCUUCACUGGGAGUUGAGACCUUCACAGAAACCCUACGAGAAGACCUCGCGUUAGCAGGAAGCAACUCUGUAGCCCAUGCCUUGCCCCUCUUCGCAGGGCCUGACUGCAGGGCCUGACUGCAGGGCCUGACUAAGUCUUUGGGUGCUCAUGUUGCCCUGUGGGGAUUUUGUCAACAGGGAGGGUGAGCCAUUGAAACUAGACGUAUUUGUAGGACCACAAGGUGGCACUUGGAAGUGGUCCCGACACUCAGGCAAAGCUUUCCUGGCAAUCAAAUCAAUGCCGAAACGUCAAGGUAAGAAAAUAUAUUAAGAGAGAGAAUUGUAACCAUCCAAGGACAGAGUGAACCACAACCUUGGCCCCAGAACUACAUUCCUCCUCCGUCUAACGACCCCUAUUCCUACGCUAUAGGAUAAACUACAUAAAUCAAGGGACUCUUGGGAUAGAUAAGGGAUAAGCUGACAAUAAAUUCCCUUAAACUUACUUGUCACUUCCUUCUGACAAUCCAAACAUGAUAAUUGAACGUUCUAGAUACGUAGAAGGAGCAAAGAGGGAAGUCCCGUCCCCCACGACUUCCUAAUUUUUCCGAGGUGGCUAACUGACUGGGGAGAGUUUGUUUCUGUUGAGCAGUGUCACGAGCUGGAUUUCUGGGACAGAGAAGUCGUCUUUCCUACCUAUUAGUCAUUCACACUUUUAUUAACUUAAAAACAGCGCGAGGUUGCUCAUUUCGUGCUUGAGGUACAAAUUGCUAAUGUAGUAGAAAAGGUAGGCACGAUGGAAAACAAUCAAAUAACGAAAGGGAAUGGCUCUGAGUCCUGUAGCUUUGUUACACACGACAGACAAUCAUACAUUUUAUGUCUUCCUUACGUGUUAAGUGAUUUGUGAUCUCUUCUAGUUUAGUAGCCAGGGCACAGGCGCUGUUUCUAUUCUCCAGGUCAGCCAGUCCAACAUGUGGUAGUUCCAUGUAACUAGUUAGGUGUGUGUGACCUCAAGGUAUUAGUUUUUAAGAGAGGAAAUGUGGGUUUUUUUUUUUGGUUCAUGUUUAUUAAAAGAUAUAGUCAGGGAUGCAAAGGGAGGGGGAAUAGAGGCAGUGAACAGCUCCAAGGAAACCAUGUUUUCUAAGCCCAAUAGGGCUGAACUCUUAGAUACUAUGGCUGCAUACACAAGACCUGAACAGGUUCAGACGAGACAGAAUCCCAGCUCUGAGAAGGGGCAGUGGGCACAAAGUCCCAUCCCAAACCACGAAGCUAUUGGCAAUUGAUUCCUGCUGGACGAGUGGAAACCAGUGUCCUCCAGGAGAGUGAUGCUGGGUAUCUCAGCUACACCUCACACUAAGCCAUAUGCUCAGCAGUAGUUGGCCAAGACCAAGGGGACUCCUUCAAAAAAUCAUCUUCGUGGGGCUGGAGAGAUGGCUCAGUGGUUAAGAGCACUGACUGCUCUUCCGGAGGUCCUGAGUUCAAUUCCCAGCAACCACAUGGUGGCUCACAACCAUCUGUAAUGGGCUCUGAUGCCUUUUUCUUGUGUGUCUGAAGAUAGGGACAGUGUACUCUCUCUCUCUCUCUCUCUCUCUCUCUCUCUCUCACACACACACACACACGUGUGUGUGUGUGUGUAAAUAAAUCUUUAAAAAAUUAUCUUUGUAUGAAUGUAUAUAUGUAUACAUGUAUGUAAAUAUGUAUGUGAGAAAGAGUUAAGUGGAUGGGUGGGAGAUCUGGGAGGGGUUGGGGGAGGUAGAAAAUGACCAAACCAUAUUGUAUGAAAAAACAAUUUUAAAGAGGAAUGCCAAGUUAGCAAUCCUCCGUCAUGAGAAAGGCAUGAGAGCAGUGGUAUGUGCCUUCGAUGCUCACACUGAGUCCACAGCCAGGAAGCAGAGCGCAAACACAGUGACACCCGGUGGUGAACAAGUGUGCAAACACAUGAGCCUAUGGAGGGUACUUUGCAUUAAAAGUUCGGUGUUGACAUUGGCUCCCUGGGAUCACGGCGGCUCCAGAGCCUAAGUUCUUAGUCGCAGCGCUUUGCUGUCCCUGAAUGGCUAAUCCUGGAAGCUGACUUCAGCAGACUUUAAACGGGAUGGAGCAUUCUGCUGACCCCCAGGAGCCUCAGCGUCAGGCAAUCCUGGGAAAAUGAAGGAUCUGCCCAUCCCCAGCACCUCCGUGUUUCUGAACGGCUGUGCACAUGUGUCUGAAAGGCCACAGGAUUCAUGGUCUGGUCUGUGUUUUUCAUUAAAGGUAACAAGCGUUUUCAUUACGACACGAGAGCAGGGCUCUGGAGUAAUGAAUCUCCAUCUGGUAGCCAGACAGGAGGACCUGUUUUAAGCAACUAACUGGACAUACUUCAUGGAUCCCUUGGGCAAGACUGGGGCUGGAAAUAGAAGGAUCCUGAUCUGAAAGCCUGCAGGCAGCAUUUCUGGACAGGGAGAUAAAGGCCAGAGGAGAUGGGCGUGCCUCUCUGCGCACCAAGAAAUCAGAGCUGUUCAUAGCAUCAUCGGCUGGGUCAGAGACACGGGGGCUUCAGGCUUCUUCCUGAGCAGGUUUGGAAGGAGCCCUCUUUUUACAGGGCAAAUCAGGGAGUCUGUCUUGGGAAACAGGAUAAAGCAAUAUGAUGAUUAUUCCGUCUAAAUGGGUAUACUGGCCCCAAGUGUUUAAAUCUGUGGGUUUCAGGGAGUUUUUGUCCCCACUCCAGGAAAAAUUUGUCUAGGAACACUCUCCUCUCUCUCUCUCUCUCUCUCUCUCUCUCUCUCUCUCUCUCUCUCUCUCUCUCUCUCUCGUGUGUGUGUGUGUGUGUGUGUGUGUGUGUGUGUGUGCCCGCCUGAAUCAUGCCAUGGGUAUACUGAGGACAACCUCAGGUGUCUGUCCUCCCAUGUCACUAGGUUUGAGACAAGCUUUACCAUUGCCUAUGUCAACCUAUCUGUGCCAUGGACUAGGAAUUUUGACUAUCCCCAUAUCUCCACAGGAGUCUUGGGAUUAUAGACACAGAUUUCCACAUGAGUUCUGAGGCCCAAACUCAGGCCUUCAUCAGUACACAGCAAGCACUCUAACCCUGGGCAUCUCACCUAGAAACACUUUGAACAUCUCAGUGGCUCCCUUGCCAACAUGAAGGUUGCUGAGAAUGCCACCUGACAUCCUAAAGAGCACUGGGCUAUCUGGUCCUAGCUGUCUGUCGAUCCAGGCUGCGGAUCCCAGCUACAACGAUGACUGUGACCAUGACAAUGCAAAAAUUUGGAAUCCCUAUUUGUUUCCGUGAGCUAUGACCGUGUCCCACAGGAUCACCUGCAUGGUCUUUAGAUCUCAGCAGAGAGAAGACCCAGUCUCUGAUAUCUUAACUCACCAGCCCAAGAUUAUACACCACGAAUGUGGUCCAAAUGGGAUUCAAAUUUUGACCUUCCUGACCCCAGGUCUCUUUUUCAACUUGCUUCUGUCAGUGGGAUUGGCUGGGUCCCCCUAGGUCUGAAGACCUUCCAUCUGCCUGCUGCUUGGAGAAGGUAACAGACAAAGAUGGCUUUGAACAAGAGGCUUAAGGGUCAGUUUCAACCCUGGAUCCACCCUGUCCCUGCUGCGUCCUUUACUGAAUGAGUGAGGAGCAGGGUCCCGACCCUCUGCCCAACACUUGCAACUUGUAAGCAUUAGGUAGUGAAGGGUUUCAACUCAACGCCUGUGACUCCCAGGGGAUAGGCUGCCAUGACGGGGAGGCAGGAAGCAGCCGUUUCUGUCAUCCAACGGGCAAGGUCUCACAGUGCACAGGAUGGCUACAUGGGGAAGAUGGUCUGGCCCCAAAUGUGACAAGCACUAUCAUUGAGAAACUCAGCCAUGGAAAGCAAAGGGGAAAAGCAGACUGGAGAAUAAUUGGUUAUUGUUUUCUUCUGUCAUUUAUUCACCGUGGCUCUAACACCUUCUGAUCUUGCUUACGAAGCCUGUUAUUACUCGUGUGACUCUAGUUGGGCAAACGUGGUGCCCCUCAGGUCUAUGGGUGAUAUACCCUAUGUUAUAUUUAGCUCUUUGAAGCACCCAAUAUCUCUUGUCAAAUUGGGCCUGACCACCAGCCGGACCAAUCAUAGGUCAAGAGGUGCCGACUAGAGAGUCUCAGGAUGAGCAACUCGUUGAGGUUGGCUUUAGUACUGACAGAAGAUAAAAGAUGGUCAGCUCGUUGCUGCUUGUCCACCAUGAGGCAAGAGUGGCUUGGGAUAGAGCCAACGGGGACCAGAGAAGUGAUAGAGAGCCUUUGUAAUGUGACCUGGAGCCUCGAACCAUCAGUCCUUGAAGUCAGAUUGUCCUGCGUGCUUUAGUUCAUUAACAAUAAACGGCCAAUUGCUUAAGCCAUGCUGAGUUUCAUAGCUCUCCACGGAGAGAGGCCCAACUGGCACAUUUUACCAUUGAAGCCACAAUCCUGAUGGUUCUUGUGGAAAACAAAAAAGCUGAAAGACCUCACCACCUCCUUUUCCAUUAGCUACCAGAGAUGUCACAAGGCAGUGUGCAAAUCCUGGGGAAAAUUCUGGAAGGCAGAAUCUCCCCGACAAAUGGAUAUCUAAAAGAACAGCUACCGGCUAUUCACAGCGCGAGAAAAAGCCAGCGGCCCUGGCUUCUGGGAGCUCAAGUACAAACAGAAAACUGGUAGGCUUCAUCCGCCCUGUCAGGAUCCGGCUGUUCUGGGAGAGCAGUGGCAUUUCUGACACCUAUUGUAAUGACACCCCUGUUACAGAUGUUCACAUUAGACUGUGCAGACUCACAUUAGAAGGUUAUCUCGAGAGGGUUGUUCUAGGAAGCCAGGCAGAGUGGGCUGAGGUGAACUUCGUACAGGUGAGACCUAUGCCAAGACAAGACAUCCAGGAAAGGAAUCCUGAGGGGAAGCAAGAGGUGACACGAAGCCCGGAACCUACACAUUGAACUUCCUUCAUGGCCAAGGCACAGAAUCUCACUGAUGUUGGAGGGUCGCCGUGGCAAUUAUCACGAUUCUCAAACAGCAGCUCACAGUCUGAGGGGGAAGGGGAGGUGUGCUUGGGAGACAUCUGAGCAAAAAUUAGAGAGACAUAACUAACACAUCAGCUGUGGGGUUCGAUGGGGGUUUUCUUGUCGAGCAGAGCACAGAGGUGAGCAAAUGACAUCUGCAAAGGACCGGGAGCACUGUCCCCUGCUCAAAUCCCUCUCCUCUCUCGGAGGGUAGACACAUACUUAAAUAAUGCAGGAAUGAGUGGGUGUGGCUGUGUUUCUAUAAGACUUUAUUUACAAAGACAAGCAAAGGGCAAAGGCUGUCCCAGGGUCAAUUCAUAGUUUAACAUGAAACUAAGUUAUAAAAAGCAUGUGAUCAAUAUGUAUAUGUGGUUAUAUAUAUCACAUGUAAUAUAUAGUAUAUAACACGUAGUAAGUCUAUAUGCACAUACAUGUGCAGAAUCAACAUGGUAAACAUGUUGAAAGCAGUGUGGAACUGGUUGAAGUCUGAUGAGACCUGACUGGGCCUUCAGUUUUAAUUGCGAAGAAAAUCGUGAUAAUGAAUCAUGGAGUCAUCUACCUUUUUUUUAGUGUGUGCAAAGCCCUGUGAUUUCAGUUCAGGCAGGAUUUGCUGAAUUUGGCUUGGGAUUCCCCAAAGGGCAAGUCUUAGAACCAGCAUGUGGCUCUGAGCUGUUGGAUCCCAAGGGUUAAAGUCUCACCUUCUAGGCUGAGAGUUGGUAAACUAUUCUGAGCCAAAUUCACCCCACCCCUUGCUUUGUGAAGAAAGGUUUAUCAGAGAAAGCCAUGUGUUUACAUAGGCUGUAGCCACUUUCCAGUCAAGGCACUACUAUAGCGGCUGGAUGAUCUGCAGACUCCCUGGUUCUUCCCAGAGAAACCUUGCUGGUCCCUGCACUCAGCUCUGGUGAUCGGAGUCUCUCUCUUGCCGGGACCAUGUCCCGGAUAAACACUGCGUGACUGAGGUACCUAGUGUCAGCAUCCCGGCCUCGGGCUGUCAUUGUGACCAUCCUCCUCACAUCCUUCCCACUCCCUUCUCAUGAGGCAUCUUGUCUUAACUCGGGACUUCAAAAAUAAUUUCCGAAAUGACGGAGAAGUGUAUAGAUGGCGGCAGGGAGGGAAACCGUUUCCGAGAAGGGUUUCAGAAGGAGCUGAUGACACACCACGAGACACGGAGCAUCCUACCGGGGAAUAUAGUGUCCCCUCUCCUGGGGGACAUUUAUUCCCCCAGGUGAAGGCUUGUUUGCUAGGCUGUCUUGAGGGAGAAAGUCUAACGACCCACACACUUUGUCAAACACAUCAGAGUCAACAACCAACACUGAGAGACUCGGGUUGACUGAUGAGGCGCCAUCUGGUAGCUGGGGUGAAGACAGAGAGAGGAUUCUGGCUUUGAAUUCUGGCUGACAUUUGCUGGACUCGGUUUACGCAACCUGAUGGGAUGUGACAGCGUAGAACGGUAAAGUGGCUGGCUUGCAAGUUAACCGAGGUCCCUCCGCAUAGAAUAGGAAUGGGCGGCAAGGGCCCUCCCCUGGUGAACAAGAAGCGAGCAAAUCAGCAAAAUAAAAACAUUUAAACUGUCUUUGUGCAAUGCCAGCUGGGUCUCUGGUUUUGCUGGACACAGAGAAACCCACGUCAGGGUAAAACACUGAGCUGGAAAUAUAAGCUGGUGUAUGGUUCGGUAAGCCUCAGGGAAUCUGUCCUUCCUUCAUCAGACUGGAGAAUAUAAUUAUUAUAGAAUUGACUGAUGCCCUUUAAUCUUUUCUUCAUAUAAACUCACCUUUGAAGUGUACACAGUUUUUAAAGAUUUAUUUUUAUUUUUAUGUGGUGUGUGUGUGUGUGUUUGUGACUCAGUGUGUGUGUGUGUGUGUUUGUGUGCCCACGCGUGUGCACACAUAUACACAGGUUCAGGUUCAGGUGUCCACAGUGGCCAGAAGAGGGAGUCAGGUCCCACAAGCUAAAGUUCUAGGUGGCUGUAAACUAGAGUGGCACUGGCAAUCCUCCUUGGGUCCUCUGAAGAAACAGCGAGUGCCGUUAGCUUUUAACUUACCUCUCCAGCUCUUAAACAGAUGUAUUUGAUAGUCAGUCUACACGUAUACAAAUUUUCUGUCUCGAUGCGGCCCUCAUUUUAUAUAAAUGCUAUACACCGAGGUGAAUACAUUACAAUUAAAUUGUUAAGAGGCUCGCCCGUGUACGGCUUCCUGUGCUAGCACAGAGCCACACGCGCAUUCAGAGCGUUCUCCUUAGGGAACGCACAGACUCAUGCGUGUAAACAUUGCAUUGGACGCAACAGGAAAUUUAUUUGAAUUAAAUAUUAGGUGCCAUCAAAUAUGUGUGUUUGUGAUGUGGAAACAAUGACACGCUGAAUGUAUACCAGGAGAGGGAAGGGAGCAGGGAACAAGCCUGGAAACUCACCAGACAAAUACAUGAAUGACUUCCUACCUCAAAGAGAAGAUCGGCGGAGCCUGUGUGUAUCCUGAGGAUCUAAGAGAGGACGAUUUUCCCUGAGCUAUUGUAGGAUACUCUGGAAGCUGCCUGCAGCCGUUUGGGCUGAUAUCUUGCUGUUGCCCAAAACGAGUUGGUCGGUUUUGAAGGGAUGGAAACGAGGUACUGCCAUCUCAUGGAAGGAUUGUCACUCCCAACGCAGGAUGAAGUGCACAGUCAGGUGUCACCAUUUAAGACCAUUCAUUUGGAAGGAACUCCUUGCUGCCAAUGGCAGACUUCAGCCACCCACACGUCUGUCUCCAGCCCUCUGCCUCCUCCCCUCAACCCCUUUUUCUUACCCACUCACUACUCAGCAUAGCUCCAGGUUGCCUCCUAUGGCUGUGGGCUGUGGGGCUGCUCCAUGGCCUCAAUGAGUCCCUUUAGGACUCAUAUAAAGUCCUAACUUACCUGGGAGUUCUCAAUGAGCCCUGCCUCCUAUGGUCUGGUUUCCAAACCAAACCCUGUAGCUAUUAAGAUUCUGGAAAUCAUCAUUAUUUGUCUAAGUGGUUAAUAUCAAUCUUUCCAGCUGGGCUGUGGAUUCUCCGAGAGGAAAAUGUUCCUUAGUUACUUCUUUUUCUGACCCAGAGUCUCACAGAGCGGAGGCUGGUCUCAGACUCCCUACGGAGUGGAAUCUUCCCUUGAACUUCUCAUCCUCCUGCUUCCACUUCCCCAGUGCUGGCAGAGCAGGCAUGUACAACACACACUCCUUGUUUGUGUGGGGCUCGAACUGUACCUGGGGCCUCCCAGAAGCCCUGUGAGAACGGUACCAACUGUGCCCCGUCCACACUCCCUUCCCACACCAUUUUAUCUUCAAGGAUAAAGGACAUCCUCAAGGAUACCCUCAAGGGUGGACAUUCCAUUCACCCUCUGUGGAAACCAAAAGGUCUUGAAAGUCUUAGAAAGAACUCAUUACUUAUUAUUUUCAGGGAGGCAAGAUGCAUUUCCCUCACUAUUUUGUCUACCUGCCUAAAAGGCAGAAACACAUUAAAAACCAAACCAAACAAACAAACAAUCCUCCCUGGAAGACAUUCACUACAGGAUCAAGCCAAUCACUUACUAUAUGCUUUCCUUUGUGUUUGGGGCGGCUUUCCUUGAACCCCAUGGAUGCAUCAUGCAAGUUUUAUGAGUUAACAUUUAUUUUAGACAUUUCAGCCUCCUGGACAUGAGCUUCUAAUCCAUACCUCUCAGCCAACACCCCAUUGAACAUAACAGGGAGAUUUUAUAGCUAUCUCGGAGGAGCUCUGUGGCGUGGAUUUUAGCGUGCUGGGGGCCAGAGACUGUGAGAAGCCACCACAGAGUCUCCCUGUCUUACAGGCAAGCUGGUUGUGUCUUCAUAGCUCUGCCCUCGGAAGUCAGGUGUGGAGUGAGUAGUGCGACUGGCCUUACACCCUGACUCCCAAUCCUUUUACAGACUGAAUUAGGACAUUGGCCAAGUAGCCCAGGGACCCUCGUGGUGAUAGCAGUGGUCUCUCCUACUUGCUGGAUACUGUCCCAGAUGAGAGCUACUGCCCCAGAGUUCCCACAACGCUUCUUCUCGGAGCAAACCUUUCAGUGAAUUACAGAAUGUAAACUACCUGCCAGGAAUAAAUCAGACAUUGAAAAAGUGCCACGCAUCAAUCCACGGCGGAAUCCCUAUGGGGCGGGGGAUGUUACAGGUUUCUGGAAGCCAUAAAACCUCCACUUAGAUGGAAAGCUUUAAAGUUUUCAAUUUAGUUACUGACUUGUACUUUGUGCGGGAUGCUCUCAGCCUCAGACAACAAAGGCUGACACUGCUUCACACUCAAGACCAGGGAGAGCUCCACCCAUGGACAGAGAGGCCCAAGGCUGACACCCUCGUCCCACUCAGACAACUCUUGACGGCUGCCUUUUCCCUUAUUUUCAUUCUCUCCCUCCCUCCCUCUCUCCCUCCCUCCCUCACUAGCUUAGAUCUUGCCAAGUAGGUUAGGCUGAGUGGCUCACCUCUGUGUCCCCAAUUCUGGGAUUUAAAAUGUGCACCACGAUGACAGGCAUCCGAGUUGAGCACCUGGGACCAAGUCAAAGUCCUUCUGAUGGCAAACAAAUGCUUUUUGAUUAAGCCAUCUGGCCAGCCUCCUUUUCUCUUUAAAGGUUUCUUUCAUGGCAAUACUUUGCCAGUCCUUCAGGAAACAGAAAGCCACAGGCCCCUUAACUUUUUCCUUCAUAGCUCUCAGCAAAACUGGUCCCACAGCUUUCUGCUGUGCCGGUCUCUUUAGUGACAGUCUUGCUAUGUAGCCUGUAGCUAUCCAAGGUCAGACCUAGGCACGUUCUGUUUGCCUCUAAGUGCCCAGAGUCUGAGCGGGCCCCUGACACAUGGUAAGUUUCCAACAAACGUUUGCUCAACCAACCAAAGUCAGACUUGAUGCCUGCUUGCCUUCCGGUAGUUCCCUCUCCAGCAGGGAAGCGGGGAGGGGUCUAGCCAUAGCGGUGAACAGAACUGGGUUUGGAAUUAGCUGGACCCCAGAAAAGGAGCCCAGCUCCAUUUGAUGACAAGUGGGUCUCGGGAUGCUUACAAAAGAGGUUAAAGUUGGAUGGAGUUUUAAGGUUAGGCCAGAUUGAGGGAAGAGUUUUGGGAAACACCGGACGGAGGCAAUUAUAUUUUAUCCUGAUUUCCGGAGCACCAACCAAAAGUCAUCAAGAUGCUCUUUUAGCAAAAUGACAGGUAGAGCCAAAUGUUACCAUGUGCCCCUGUCCUCAGAUUCCGUUUAGUCAGAAGAGAGGGGUACAAAGCCAGCCUACGAGCAUCACGUGACCGCUGUUUAAAUUCUGCCAAUCACUGAACCAAUAGCACUUCUGCUCCUCUCUAGUAGUUGGAAGAAGCCAUUAGAACACACAUAAAACACACAAGGGGGAAGGCUCGAUAUCCUCCAGUCUUCGCGCAAUCCUUCAAGCAUCAGACACACAGGGUAGUGGGAACCCCAUACCCGAGGUCUCGCUCACAGCCGUCACCCCAUUCUAAUGAUAGUGCUUAUACCCUGUGUCUGUACCUCGGGACUGAGAUCUUACACCAAGAGGUCCAUGUUCUGUCGAAAAUGGUGCUCAGAAGAGAAGCUCCAGUGUCUGGUGCCAAGAUUCAAGACAGGAGACUGCGACCCACUGUGCCCGUGCCCGCUACACAAGAUCUGUUUGGAAAACUGCCAGAGGGAGGACACAUGUGGGUUCGGGGCUGGGGCUUGAAGAUUCUCCUUGGGGUAGCACGGCUUAAUCACAAAGCAUAGCACUCUGGGAAGAAGAAUAUUCCUUCUCCAGCUGACCCCUCCUCUAUCCACUCUUUCCUGUGGCUUUUCACCCCUGGCUGUGCAGUCGAGCUCUGAGGAGAUCAAUCCUCCUAACUUCUUUCAACACGGCCUGCUUCCUCAUUGGUUCAUUUCUCAGUCCCACCCUUUUGUCUCAUCGUGAAGCCUCACCUCUGACCCCUGACCCGUGACCCCUCCUCCGCCAUCUUGGAAUCUCUACCUAGUCCUUCCUGUGGUCUCAGCUUCUCCAUUCGUUGUUGUUUUUUUUUUUUUUUUUUUUUUUUAAUUCCUUGCUCCUCUGGCUCUGCUGAUCCUGGCUAGGGACAUCUAUUUGGUUGUCUGGCUUCUUCUGAGAUCUCUGUAAGUGGGUGGGGGUUGGAGGGGGUGCUCACUGGAGGGACUGCAGCAGAUGCCAAAGGUUCCUAGGUACAAAGUACAGAGUGUGAACUGCGCAGGUACCGUUGUCUAGAUAGAGGAACAGUCCCGUGCUCUCCAAGACAGGCUGGGCUGCCAGGCAGAGGUCGUUAUUUGCCAUAAACCACGUCAUUCUUGCCAGAAAAUUCCUUUAACCAACCUUCCUAACUGGCCGGCAUGAUAGACACACUUGAUGGUCUACACCGAUGGUACCUGCCCUUUGCAUGAAUAUCCCUAGGAAAUAGGACAGAAAGUAGGAGAUGAAAAGAGAGCCAAGCCCUUGGCAAAUUGUGGCCCAAGACCGUGUGACAGGCAAAGUGUUUCUGAGACCGGUAGUCUGCAAGGCAGUGCUGACGUUGUGGAGACAGGGUCCCUGCUGCCCUGAUUGUCCCCACUCAAGUCCACCAUGACUGAGGUUGGAAAGGCUCUCUCCACUGUUAGUGGAUCACUUCCUUAAAGUGACUGCAUUUCUUACAACUCUCACAGCCCUACCUGAGACUCACUGUGGGCUGUCAGCCUCCCUGUCGAUCCCUACCUCAAAGAUACUGAAAGACUAGAACAGACUUCCUCCUUUCCGGGCAUUGAAACCAGACAGUCAGGACUCCGAGCCUCAGAGAACAUGCUGCACAAGUGGAGGCUAGAGGACAACGGUCCUUUGGAAGUCCAUCCUCUCUUUCCACCUAUCUGCAGUACCUCGGUAUUGAACUCAGGCCAUCACACUUGGCGGCAAGCCCCUCUGUACUCCCCGAGCCAUCUCAUCAUCCCUGCCGACCCUCUUUAAUACAGUAUAGCUUUUAAGAGGAAAAUAACUCCAAACCUUCCUUGCGGUUCAUCGUAGGGCAGUUGAGCCAACAUAUAAAUAACUGAGUCUGGAGCCUAAUAUUACCAAGAACAAAUGAAAUAAAAACUGGCAGUAACGACCGUGCCUUUGCUCUGCUUUCCCUGGGCUCUGAGAUCGCUGUAGCUAUGGAGGUGAGCUGGCUCGCUCACAGUAAAUUUGAUUAAUGUUUAUUCUGUGGCAAGCUUUAUGAAAAACACCUUGGCAAUAUUAUCUUAUUUAAUUUUUAAUAAUAUUUUUAGAGGGUUUUUUUUUUUUAAAUCAGAGAAUUCGGGAGAACAAAGUGACGAUGAGGCAGCUUUCCGAUUUUCCCCAAGAUAAAUUAAACGAUAUUAAAGGAGAAGAAGGGGGGAGAGGGAGGGGGGCUGAAGUUUUAUAUUUUUUUAUCACAGUUAUUAUUUUUUUUUUUUUAGGAAAAAUUAUCUACACAUCCAUGAAGUCAAAAUUGUCCCGUGGAAGGGAAGGUCACAAAAGGUGACACCCAAUGAACCCUUUAUUGCCCCCUUCAAGGCUCCUUUAGCUAAGUGUAGGAUUUUAUUAGAUUUCCUUCGUGUAAAACCAACGUGAUAGCUCAUGUCUGUAAUCCCCGAACUCUAGACGCUGGGAAAGGAGGAUUGCCGAGGGUUCAGGGCUAGCCUGGGCUACAGUGUAAAACCCUUGUCUCAACUCCCCACCCCCUCAAAGAACACUUCUCGCCUGGUAUUCGUCUUCCUAACGGCACUAGGAUGUGAUUAUCACUGUUGGACCCAACGUGCGACAACGUGGGAGGGGAAAGUUGGUGGCGAUUUGCUUCGUGACUUUUAUCUCAUCUCUGCACAAACAGGAAAAGACCUGGAGGUGUCCGGGGAUGAGAUUCGUUCCCGGUGUACAGCUUUGACAUCUCCUCCUUCUCCCUUUCUCCGUUUCCCUUUGCUGAACCAGGCAGCCACAGAAAGGAAGCAGGCGUGAGGGACACCCGGCCUUCAUCUGAUGGGUCAGUCAACUCGACUACGGAGCGUCUUAAUAAUCUUCUGCUGCCUCACGUCUUUGGAAACAAUCCAUAAGGCUGAUAAAACAACACUGAACUUACACCAAUACUUCUCCACGUAAGGAAUGUCACCUUUGGGGGGGGGGUUACUCACGUAGAAACCACAUUGAUAGUACUUGUAGUGCUCCUGUGUUUAAGGGAAGGCUGGCGAGCACAGAAGCUAGUUAGGUCGGUUAGAUGCAUCUUUGCGUAAGAAUCCCUCUGCAGCAGUAGCAGAUAGCUUCUCGGUUAGGGGAGGGGCUCAAAGCCCGCCUCAGAGGUGCUGAGGUACCGUGACACUGAGAGUCAGCUCUCUGGUCACCUCUCACCCUGCUUCUCAUAUUCCCAACGGGGAAGAAUUUUUAAGUUUAGUGAAACCGCGUGGCGCGGCCUUUAACGAGACCUGGCACAGACAAUUUCUUAGGAAUUACUGCUUAAAGUACCCAGCCCGCUCCGCGUAAUGGACUUGGUGAUUUCGGAGAUGAAAGCACAGGUUUCCACCCACGUCUAAUCAACGCUCGCCAAGUAGAGUCUUUAGCAGCUAGAGCGCUUAUCAUCCCCCAAGUGGGCAGUGCCCGUUUGUGGCUCCGUGUUGAAGAGAGAAGCCACUUGCAAGUAGGUGACCAGGGACCGGGGGGCAUCUUAUAAGAGGUUUGAAAACGUGUUCCUCUAACGGACACUGUGUUUUCCAAAAUAUAAUAUACCUUCGCUUAGAAUGUAAAAGUGGCACCAAACGAGGAUCCCUCUGGACGCUGUGAAACCGAGACGGCUCCCCCAGUAUCGUGUAGAGGGUACUCGAUGCAAUCAGUGUGUUCUACACAGGUAAUUACUUUUACUACUAAUGGCGCCUCCCAUUCAGCGAGGACGGUAAGAGGCUGGAAGCCUACUUAAUCAGAAGGCUUCUUCAUUACAGCCUCACCACCCACUGAGUCAAACAGUUCAGUGGUUCUCCUCAGCAACUCGCACAAAUGAGAAAAAUUUAUUAACACGUGAGCAGGACCGGACUUCGUUAGCAUGGACAAAGACGAUUGCCUCUGUGAUUAAAAAAAAAAAAAAAAAAAAAAAAACACAGGGUAGUCAAGUGUGCGUGCACGUGAGCCGUUGUGAACAAGGCUUUUCUGGAACCCUCACGCGUUUGCAUGUUCGAAGCUGGUUUGUAGGGACUGUCCAGUUCAAAGUGUUCUGAAGCCACUUUGAGGCCUGAGGAGGAAUAAGGGGCGGGGGCGGGGUGUGGGGGCGGAGUGGUUGAUGGAAAAACUCCUCACGUGCUGGGUGAUCGUGGGUAAUUUACUAAUCUCUGAGUUUACUUCCUAUUUGCGGAAUAAUGGAUAAACGUGAUAUUCAUUUUCUAUCCACUCACAAUCGGUUCUGCUGUAAGGCACACAGGUAUUUGGAAGUGGGCCACGCUUUUCCAAUAUGAAUGAGAAAAGCACAGAAGCUUGUGGGGCAAGUGUGGGUAGGAACACAGUGUUCGUGUCCGUAAUGCAUAGGGUAAAAUGUAGAAUCCCAGGGCAGAGGACACAGCUCCGCUGGUAAAACGCCCGUGAACAAGCACUUAGAUCCAAGUUCAAGUCCUCCGCACCCCUGUAAAAGGUCGGGCAUUGUGGCGUAUGUCUGCAGCCCCAGCUGGGGAGGCAGAGUCAGGCAGGUCCCUGUACCUCGCUAGCCAGCCAGCUCUGCUGAGCCAGUGAAUUCCAGAUCAAGCAAGGGUCCCUGCCUCACAAAGCAAGGUUACACAGUGCUGGACGAUGACAGCGGAAGUCACUCUCUGGUCUCCACAUGUAUGCAGGUCACGUGUUCUAUGAAGUACAUGCAGAGACAGAAUUCCAAUAAGAACAGCAGCAGCCUUUCCUGUGAGGUAGGUGUUUAGGAAGAGGCAAAGUCAGAAGCUGAGCCUGAGGAGCGUGUGUGGGAGGGCUUCAGGCUGAGCUGCUGGAGUAGGGAGAGGGUUAACAGAACGUGAGACUGUAAGUUGAAGCAUCAGGUAAGGAAGGGCGUGGCUCUAAGAACACUUGUGAGAUGAAGGGGCUGGUGGGUGUCAGGUGUCAGGGCAGACACAUAUGCUUGCUGGUGUCUCUACUUGCUUUGGGUACAGCUGGGCAUAGUCCCCCCCCCCCUCUCUCACACACACACACACACACACACACACACACACACACAAGCACACCACCACCACUACACACAUACACAAACACAGAUACACACAUAUGCACAUGCAUAUCAAACACACAGAACAGGCACACACACCACACACAUACCACACAUACCACAUAUACACCACACACGCACGCACACACACACAAAUGUGUCACCACCACACACAUACACAAACACAGAUACACACACAUGCACAUGCAUAUCAAACACACAGACACACACACCACACACACAUACCACACAUACCACAUACACACCACACAUGCACACACACACACAAAUGUGUCACCACCACACACGUACACAAACACAGAUACACACAAAUAUGCAACAUACCACACACACGAAGAUAUACACCCUCCCCCCACACACCAUACACACCACACACACUACACACCACACCACACACACACAUACAUUCAUUUUACACACACACACACACACACAGACAGACAUAAACUCCACAUUCAACUUUAACUCUGUCAUGCUGGGACAGGCUUGCACUCACUCUCAGGAGCAGGGCAGCACAUCAGGCUGUGUUGAACGAUUCUGGUGCACACACAGAAACUUACAGCAUCCUCCCCUCUUGGGUUCCAUGACAACUGGGAUUAGACUGAGAUAAUGUUCAAUCCCAGACUCAGGGGCCAUGGCCUUGAAGGGCAUACCUUCUUAUGUCGUUCUGCCUUUUAAGGAAAGAUGAGGCUUCGGAGGCCCCCUGCAACGCCUACAGACAGCUCAGAGCCUGGUUAUAUGUGUGCAGUUGUACCUUUGUCCUUGCCGACAACAAUACCUGUCUCUAUAAUGCGAGUCACAACAAGGACAGGAAAUGCCCUCCUUCCCUUAAGUUGGAGUUGAGAACUCUCCUCUAAGAGGCAGGAAUCCAGCUGCCCCAGGGAGGGAAAUUGGUGUUACUUUGCAGAAUGCUUGAUUAGCACAGGAGACGGUGGCAGGCCGAUUUCUCUCCAGAGCCUUUUAGUAGGUAAUAAUAGAUAACACGCAAGCAAGGCUCUCUCUGUGUGUCUGCAACUACAGGAGCGCAGAUGUAUUAACUCAUUUACCAUUCGAAUCAUUCCGUGUAAUUGCUUUUCAACUCUCAACGUUUCUUAUCAAAUUAGCUAAACUGAACAAGCCUAGCAAAAGCAGCCUGGUUUCUAGGUAGCCACACAGCGAGUGUUGGCUGGACAGCACCUGGGGGACCUGGUGUCAUCUGACUUGGGCUAGGCAUCCAAUCCAGUAGUGAUUCUUCUCACCAGUCUGUCAAAAUAUCUGAUGGACGAAACUUAAGAAAGGAAGGAUUUAUUUUGCCUUCCGUAUUGAGAAGACACAGCCCAUUACCACAGGGAAGGCAUGGCUAGGUUCACAGAAACAGGGAUGAACCCCUGAGACUCCUCCCAUCCCAGAAGUGCAGAAAACAGAGAGCUUAGACAAGAACUGCCUAAAAUGGCCCACAUCUUCCCAGCUUGGCUCCACCUCUUAAAGGUUUCGUGAUCCCCCAAAAGAGUACUGACAGUUGGGGACCAAGUCUUCAAAUACAUUCAAAUACAUGCAGGGGACAGUUCACAUUCAAACUGGAACACAGACCAGUCAGAACCAUGGCUCUACUGACAGACAGCUGUGUAUGCUAGGAUUUGGGGUUUAAUUGUACUCCCCAAUAUCAUUCUGUAAGGCGUUGAUGGUUGGUCAUGGUGGCACACACUUCCAAUUCAUGCACAAGGCGGGGGCAGAGGUGGAGACAGAGGCAGGUGGAUCUCUGUGAGUUUGAGGCCAGCCUGGUCUACGUAGUGAGUUCCAGGCUAGCCAGAGCUACAUAGUGAGACUCUACUGAAGGAGGAGGAAGAAGAAGAGGAGGAGGAGGAAGAAGAGGAAGAGGAGGAAGAGGAGGAUAGAGGAGAAGGGAGAAGGGAAUGAUGAGGAGAAAAGGAAGUUGAUAACCAUCUGUGGGAUCUUGUAAUAUUUAGUGAGAAGGAGAAAAAGAAUGUUUGGAAUGGCAGUGGUCACAGAGUCGACAAUCAAUGGUCAUUUGUCUCUAUAAUAAUUAUUUCUUUAGUAUCAGUAUGGAGUCAUUAAUAUUUUUCAGGCGUACUGACCUGUAAUGUGGCUAUUUGACACAGACUUGCCAGGUCCUGGCCUCUGAAGACUCAGAGACUUAAGAUCCCUGAUUUUCUCUAUCUGGAUGCCAUUGGCUGCUGAGAUACAGCACAGGAUGAAGGAGGAUCUCAAUCCCCACGGUUACACUGUCAGCGUCUACACUGACCACUGCCUGGCAGAACUGGGCUUUUACUUCUCAUUCCUUUUCUGUUUAAUCCACCCUACCCCUAGUUCCCCGGGGAAUGCUUUCUCCAAGUCGACCCAGAAACUGCACAUUUGUUACCAGGACUUCUGUGCAGAGGCAUCAAACCACACUGGAACCCAAUGGAACCCAAUGAACGGUGUCUUUCCUAAUUCUGUGUUAGGUCCUGAAAAAAGUUCACAGAAAACCUAUGAACCAACCCACUAACCCACUAAAAAGAGAAACUACUAAUCAACCAACCUAUUAACUAAUUAACCCACUAAACAACCAACCAACCAACCCACCAAACAACCAAAUCCACUAACCCAAUAACCAACCCUCUAACCAACAACUAACCCACCACUUAAACAAAACCAAAGCCCUCACAGUUACUGCAAACAGCCUGAGACCCAGCAGUCCCCAAAUGCAGUCCCAGAGCCUCAUUUCCCCAAAGCUCUCUUCAUGUUCAGUCUGUUCCUCUAAGGUAGACAAACAGCUGAGUCCCAUUGCUUUAUCCCCGAGUUGACUCCAAGUUCCCCCACUCUUGGCUCCCCUCUUACUAGUCCAGCUGAAGCUACUCUGCUUUCUACCUUACAGCCUUCCUAGCCCCGCCUCCCAGUACCUUAGCAACCAGCCUGGCAACCAGCCUCAGCUUAUUCCAAUGGAAUCUAAUUAUUAAUAACUUUUAUAAAAAUUACAGUAGCUUCAUGAUUCCCAAAGACCAAGGCUACAAUUAAUAAAGGCUACAAAAUCCUGAGUAUUCUAAAUCCCCUCUAACUCAUAUGUCCUUGGUAUCACAGUGCUUCUUUCUACUCAGGGAAUAUCAAGCAGGCUCCUGCGAGGAGGUGUCAGGCCUGUGCGUUCUUAGACUUAACACCUUUUUUUUUUUUUUGCAAGGAGUGGGUAUUGUUUGAAAGUUUCCUCUUGCAAAAUGCCUUGGUGUUUAUUUAAUGGGACAGACGUAGCUGAAAUGAAAUCUUUAUUUUUUUAAGUUUGUUUUUGUUAAUAGUGUGUGUGUGUGUGUGUGUGUGUGUGUGUGUGUGUUUGUGUGUGUGCGUGCACAAGUGUUCCCACAGAGGCCAAAAGAGGGCAUCAGAUUCCUUGGAGCUGGAGUUUCAGGCAGUUGUGCGCUCUCUGAUGUGAAUUCCUAGAAGUGAACUCAAGGCCUGAGCAAGAGCAGCGAGUGCUCUCGGCCUAGGAACAUCUUUCCGUCCCUAGAACCAUACUGUGAAUUAUCUCUCCAGUAGUGAGAUUUUACUCAGAGCUUUGUAGGUCAGUAGUUUUUAUCUUUGGUUUAUAGAUCUUUCUCUUUCUUAACGUGAACACACAAGUUUGAGUAAUGGAUAUGAGUGUGUGUGUGUGAGAGAGAGAGAGAGAGAGAGAGAGAGAGAGAGAGAGAGAGAGAGAAGCCUGCUGUAUUAGACACAGCUCUCAUUAUUAGGACACAAUUUCUCAUAACUAGAACCACAGGAACGAUGGGUCCAUUUUGCUUCCUGGUCUGCAGGGAUACAGUCCAUCUCAGUGGGGAAGGGUUGGCAUGGGAACAGGAGGCUUCUGACCACACCGAGUCCUCAGUCAGGGAGCACAGAGAUGAAUGCUGGUACUCAUGGUUUCCCUUUGUAUCCAUCCUAGAUUCUUAGUUCACAGGAUAACAUCACCCACAGUCAAGGGUGGACCUUUCUACCUCAGUUAAACCUUGCUGAAAAUAUACUUACACACACACACACACACACACACACACACACACACACACACGCACACAUGCACACAUGCACACAUGCAUACACACAUGCACAGGUGCACACACAGACAAAACAGAGGCAGACAGACAGAGAGGGAGAGAGAGAGGUUUAUCUCCUAGUUGAUCCUAAAUCCUGUCAAAUUGACAAGGUUACCCACCACACCUUGCCUGUGCACGGAGAGAAGGGGAGCAGCUGGUUUUCCAGAAGUAAAGGUGAGAGAUGGGGCAACAGAAACUGUGCAGGGGACAUCUUAACUCCCGCCGCACUACCCAAAGGAUUAGCGUGCUCGUGAACGUGAGAGGUCUCAGAAGAGUUGUUAGCGAGCGUGUGAAGCCAAUUCUCAUGGCGUCUUAGGAAGCAAUAUCAGGAAACUUGGUAUUAAUUUUAUCCAAGGUGAUGUAAUGCGGCCAUGAGUCACUCACCCCUUCGUAGAGAUAACAGAUGAUCUCUCCAUUGCCACAUUCACUGGCCCUUUGUCAGGCUGUGCUUGGCUUUGACCUCUGCACAGCCUCUGAUGCCUCCCCUGCCUCUCUCCAUGACUCAUUCUUGGCUCCCACGUACCUAACCUCCCCGAGUUUCCCCUUCUCCAUGGCCUUCCUAGCCCUGGAUCAUCUCAAAUUGGUCCUAAUAUGUGGAUCAGUGCCGAGGUUCUACCCUCGCCAGUCUUUCUGCCUCUCUCUACCUCAUCCCUCUCUCAGGCUGAUUCAUCAACUCCAGCUCAAUGACUCUGCUCAGUCCCCAGAGGAUUCCCUUGUGUGCUGACCUUGCCAAGUUAACAGUUCUUCAUCUUCCCUACCCUGCAAACUUCUCCACGUGGACUCAGAAUCCUUCUUGCCUCCUUUUCCCUGCCUUUCCAUCAGAAUUCAACUCCCCAUCACCAUGUUACCUCUUCGGGUCUUUUCCCUCCCCGAUGCAAACACUCAUGCCUCCGAGAUUGCAUGCCAAUGUUUAUCGCUCUUUCUUAAUAAUGUCCUGAAUAAACUGGGGUUGGGUUGGCAAGUCUCUUUUGCAUUUUAACCCUUUCCAACACAACAUAAUUUGGAAACUAUAUGGUUGGCUAUAAGCAAAGUCAUCGAUUCCCCCAAGGUCCUGGUUACCAUCCCCCCCAUCUCUAUCCCAUCAUCCCCCUCAUUUCCUACUCUUUGUCUUUUGACAGGGUUCUGGUGAAGAUUCAUCAACCUUCUUUAUAAACCACUGUCAGAGGGCCAGAUGAAUCUUCCAAACACCAGGAUUCCCUCGCACUUCCUUCUCUGCCUGCCUAGAUCAGCUUACGUCAGCAAUCAGCAUCUGUGACCACGACACCCACACAUUCUUGGAAUCUGGCUUCAGGUCUAUUAUUGUGUCUCCAUUUCAGUCUGUCCUUUAGUCAUUUGACGAUCAAAGUUAUCAGUGAUUACAUUGAUGAGGAAGACGGAGUACGAGCUCCCACUGCGUUCCCAUUGCCCAGACUCUUACCAGGAAAGAAAGGAAAUGCCUGGUUGGAAACGUCUGUGACCCGACAGCCACGGAGGCAAUCACAUCAAGAGUCGACACUCCCUGUCUCUUUUUAUUUAUUUGCAUGGCCCAGUGGAUUCUGUUCUCAGUCGUUUUAACAGUCCAAGACCCGUCAGGCCCAGCACAUCACCGUGAUCUAUCGUCAGGGUAAAAAUCUCGUGGUGGUGGCAGCCUAGAUUGACAGCGAUGUUUAAAUCCUAAACUAUUCUCUGGAUGACAUUCAAUUUUUUGUCAGGAAGUUUCAAAAUGUGACUGGAGCCUUUUCAAAGCUUUCUGUCUGGUGGAAACACCAGUGACAAAAGCAGACAUAAACCAGCUGUGGUGGACUGGGAAAAACACUGACCUUCAAGGCCAAAUACCUAGGGAGAGGCUAGGGCUCUGAUGGGGGAGUUACUCGGUUUCAAACAAGUCUUCCCUCCUGCAGUGGCCCCCACUAAGUGGAGCCCAGCUCUGAAGACACAUGACGCGUGUACCCUUCAGUGACCCCAUGCCUGCCCCAAGAGGGUGGAGGUGUGUAAUGACCUUGUUUCAAAGAAGUGAUUUACAUCUGUAUUAGCUUCUUCCCGAUCUGAAUAUGCCUUUAUUAAGAGUCCCUGAAACUCAGACACAGCUACUGAAAUUUUCCUUUCACUCAUUUAGUGUUGUGUAAGUUUUAUCUGCCUCUCUAGUUCAUACCUAUUCCAAUAAGUACAAGUAUUAAAAAUUCCAGGCCUGUUUUACUAUUGUAUUCUUCACGGAUUUUCAACCUUACACUAAACCCACUUUAUUCGGACUUAAAUUCUGAAUGGCUCUCUCAAAAAGGACAAACUAAGGUCCCUGGUUAACACAAAGGUAAGAAGAGUUCUGAUCACCUCUUUCAGGGAGCUCAAACUCCAGGAAGAAGGGUAGAUAUAUAAGGAUUGAAUUCCAUCGCCUCUGUAUCACGAAUGUUUGAGUACAGAAAGGUGUGCUAUGAGAAAAAUGACACUUCAGUUUCUGAGUCAAAGAAUAGAUUACGGGGUUGGGGAUUUAGCUCAGUGGUAGAGUGCUUGCCUAGCAAGCGCAAGGCCCUGGGUUCGGUCCCCAGCUCCGAAGAAAAGAAAAAGAAAAAAAAAAAGAAUGGAUUACUAGGCAAGUGAUAGUUCUCAGAAGGUAAAGGUGCUUGCUGCCAAGCCUGAUGGCCUGAAUUUGAACCCUAGGAUCCACAUGGCAGAAGGAAGGAGCCGACUCCCACAAGCUCCCUUCUGCCCUCCACAUGCACAAAAGCUGUGGCUUGCAAGUCCCCCACCCACCUCCCCACACACAGACGAAUGUUUCUAAAAAUAUUUUUAAAACAAAGAAAGAACAUUUUAGUCAAGGGAAUAUAUACUUCAAAAGUGGUCAAGGAGGGCCCCACCGGGGAGGAGACACCGAGACAGGUAAGCGGGAGGCCAGGCAGAAGCAUCUUAUCUAUAGACCCAGAAGUGGAAAGUCAUGUCUGCCAUUUCUUGUCCCUUCAACCAGACUUUGUGAGAUUUGGAACUCAGUGACACAGAAGUAUCCAUACCUUGGAUAUCCUAAAGUACACAACAAGAGCCUGACCCAGAGAAACCCUGUACAGGACCCUUAUGAUUAAGAGCAUGUGCUUCAGCUGCUGUGUAUUGUGAGCAACAAACACUGAGGUCAGUGGAAAUGAUAAUUAAACACGCGUAUUUCACAACGGAAACGUCCCAUCCAUCAACCCGGACCCCAGACUGAAAACAGAAGGAUGCUUUCCACCCGGCAGAUGGAGUUAAGAGUGUGCAAACAUCACUCCGUACAUCUCUCAGAACAGUCUCCCAGGCCAGACUGUUGAAAAGGAUCCAUUAGUUCAUCCCGUAUCAGCCUCUUCCUUUUAAGAGAUAAUAAUUUCAUUGUUAAAGUGACUCACAUUUACUGUAUUUAAGUAACAGAGGGAAAAAACAUUAAGGGAAAAGAACCUAAAACCAUCCAAUAUCCCAGCAUUGAAAAAAAAUUCUGUUAAUUAUACUUCAGAUGUGUUUCUAUCUGCCUGGGAUAGAUAAAUAGGUUGCUGGAUGAAUGAAUCGGUUGUUAGAUAGAUGAUGGGUGGACUGGUGGGUGGGGAGAUGUAUAAAUGCACGGAUAAGUGGAUGGAUGGAUGGAUGGGUGGAUGGGUGGAUGGGUGGAUGGAUGUAUGGGCAGAUGACAAGUGGAUGGGUGGGUGGGUAGAUGUAUGAAUGCAUGGAUGAAUGGAUCAAUGGGUGAUGAGUGAAUGGGUAGCUAGAUGUCUGAAUGCAUGGAUGAGUGGAUGAAUGGAUGGAUGAAUGGAUGGAUGGAUGGGUGAAUGGAUGGAUGGAUGAGUGGAUGAAUGGAUGACAAAUGGAUGGAUGAGUGGAUGAAUGGAUGGAUGGAUGGAUGAAUAGAUGAUGAGAGGAUGGGUGAUGAGUGGAUGGUGGGUAGGUAGAUGUAUGAAUGCAUGGAUGAAUGGAUGGAUGGAUGGAUGAAUGGAUGGAUGGAUGAGUGGAUGAAUGGAUGAUGAAUGGAUGGAUGGAUGAGUGGAUGAAUGGAUGGAUGGAUGGAUAGGUGAUGAGAGGAUGGGUGAUGAGUGGAUGGUUGGGUAGGUGGAUGUAUAAAUGAAUGGAUGAGUAGAUGGAUGGGUGAUAAAUGGAUGAGUAGGUGGGUAAAUGUACCCGUGUAUGAUUGAGUAGACAAAUGGAUGGAUGAAUCAGUAGGUAGAUGGAUAAAUGAUGAGUCGGUGACAGGGUAGGUAGCUAUAUGCAUCCAUGAAUGAGUCCAUGGAUGGAUGGGUCAACAGAUGCAUGAUUAGUAGAUAGGUAGGGAGAUACAUGGAUGUAUGGGCACAGAUGGAUGGAUGGGUGAGUGAAAGGAUACGUAGAUGGACAGACAGGUAGAAUUGCACCCCUUUGGUUUUUCCUAAGGUUAGUGGCCAUCCCUUUCUGGUGACUUCACCUACCCCAACCCUCAGUCAACAACGAGAGAACAUCCCCAUCUCGCCAACUCAAUUACCGUACUUUUCAGCUUCACAGAGGCUGAAAAACCAUCUGAGCUAAUGCGGAAACCUUCCGUCACAUCAAUGAGAGUCUGUAAGUAAUCAGUGAGUUCCCUAAGUUCUUACAGAUUUGCGGAAGCCAAGACAUCAUUCAGAGUUACCUGCCACAUUUGAACAGGUCUAAGUGGACAGGUAAGGACAGUUAAUGGUACUGUCCAAGCUUAACGUGUGAGGAAAGGAGGGGACAGCACUAUUACCAUUGAUAAAGAGCUUAUUAAGGCACUCAGUGGGACCCUCCUCGCAUGCACAUUGACAUCUGCGUUACCCGUGCCACAGUGGUUCCUAACCUUCCUAGUGCCGAGACCCUUUAACACACUUCCUCACGUCCUGGUGACCUUCAACCAUAAAAUUAUUUCAUUGCCACUUUAUAACUGUGCUUUUGCUACCGUGUGGGUCAUAAUAUAAAUAUCUGGUAUGCAGGGUAUCUGAUGUGUGACCCUUGUGAAAGAGUCACUCGACCUCUAAAGGAGUCAAGACCCACAGGUGGAGAACCACACUGGCUUCUGUGUCUUUAUAAUGAAAGGAGGAGACCUGUGCUUACCCUUAAAGCCUGCCCUCGAUCUACCAGAGCCUAGAACUGUUAGAGCUUUUGAGUAUGGCGCCAGAAGCUAAGAACAGGUGUGAAGUAGCAACAUCCACUACUCUCCGACAGGGAUUUCCGGUCUGCCAGCACUGACUGACCUGUCUUCCCAACACCUUCCAGGCACCUUCUGCUUUGAUAACUGAGAAGGGAUCUGGGCUGAGCUGGAUGCAAGGUCACCCGGGACUGAGAGCAGGUGCCUCGGGUUUUCACAAUCCAAAGUGCUGUACGACUCCUAUCCAGCAUCUUUUGGAAAUGCAGAUGGUACCAUUUUCUAGGAUUUGCCAUAUGUGUCCCCAGAUCAGGCUGAGAGGUGACAGAGGCAAGCUGGACACUGAGCCCCACACCAUCGGUGAUGUCUAAAAGAGGCUAAUUAGGUCUGGGUUGCCUUUGACCCACGUGUCUGAGAAUAAGAACAGAGAAGUGCGCAAGACGGGCAGAUCCCUUCCCAGAGAUGUCCUUGCUUCUUCUGUAGCCACAGGAUUCGGGGUGCAAGCUGGCCAGCCAGCCAUCUUUCAUGUCUGUCAGAUAGCCAGACAGCAAGGAAGGAAGGCCGCUGACGCAGAUAACAGGAGCCAUUAAUGCCUCGCCAGUGAUGGCAGCUGCGGUGGCUCUGUCUUUGAGGGGACAGGAGCGGUUUCAGGCAUCGUGAAUUUAAAUCUUGCAGUUGGAGUUCAGAUCAUCGCAAGUGAAACAAUGUUUAGAAGCGCCUGAAAGAUAGCAGCUAAUUAAUGAACAGUCAGGCCCGGUUCCUAAGACAUUUGAAACAAAACAGGACAGAGCUCUCCGCUCUGUGCACUUCGGGGACUGACAGAGAGCCAAACCGGAACUUGACAGCAAGCAGAGGAUCCCAUUCCUCUCGUGAGUUCCCAUGAGCCACCAGUUCUUCAAGUGAAGGGUUCUGGUUUUUUUUUUUAAGCGUGAGUUUUAUGUUGAGAAAGAAGAGUAUUGUUUGGGGAGCUAAGCAUGUAUGUAUGGGCUGCUCUGGGCACACAUGUAACCUACACAAAUCUUGCUAAUCACGUGGCAAACUGUUCUGUGCUAACGGUUUCAAAACUUCCCCUCCCUCACGCAAACAGUACCUAUUACUUUAAACACCCGGGUGUCUAGUAAUUGUUCAAAAAUGUGUCAGACUACCAGUAAUUCAAGUCCUGUCAAAAAUAAAUCUCAGAGACUCACUUCUUCCAGUCGGUGCCUUGGAAAAAAAAAAACCACGCCCACACGUCAAUUCCCGGAAGCCUCUGCAAUGUUUCUUUGUUCUGAAUUUGUGUAAACAGAAGAAGGCUCCUUUCCCUUAACAA